rnacentral:rRNA from 1 species
UACGUAGGGACCAAGCGUUGUUCGGAUUUACUGGGCGUAAAGGGCGCGUAGGCGGCGCGGUAAGUCACUUGUGAAAUCUCUGAGCUUAACUCAGAACGGCCAAGUGAUACUGCAGUGCUAGAGUGCAGAAGGGGCAAUCGGAAUUCUUGGUGUAGCGGUGAAAUGCGUAGAUAUCAAGAGGAACACCUGAGGUGAAGACGGGUUGCUAGGCUGACACUGACGCUGAGGCGCGAAAGCCAGGGGAGCAAACGGG